rnacentral:rRNA from 1 species
UGGCGGACGGGUGAGUAAUGUCUGGGAAACUGCCUGAUGGAGGGGGAUAACUACUGGAAACGGUAGCUAAUACCGCAUAACGUCGCAAGACCAAAGAGGGGGACCUUCGGGCCUCUUGCCAUCGGAUGUGCCCAGAUGGGAUUAGCUAGUAGGUGGGGUAACGGCUCACCUAGGCGACAUCCCUAGCUGGUCUGAGAGGAUGACCAGCCACACUGGAACUGAGACACGGUCCAG